CUGUCGUCCCUAUAAAUGUGACUUAUUCCUCCUUGCCUUCUACCAUGAUCGUGAAGCCUCUCCAGUCAUGUGAAACUGUAAGAAAAUAAUUGUUUCAAAUUUGGGACAAAUGGGGUACCUUUGAAGAGCAAGCAAUGAAAGCUUAGAUGUUGGUAUACUACAAAUGAAAAAAGCCCGGCUUCUUGUCUUCUACCCUGAACCAAAUCCAAAGGUUAUUUCUGAAUAUCUUCCACGUGCUAGGAACUAGGAUGCAGCAGUGAAUAAGAUACGGCUUCCUGUUCUUCCCUACGUCAGACCAUACUCUCAAGAACUUGAAAGAUUUCAUCUUUUUGGUAACCCAGGAGAGCAAAACAGACAAGAGUUGUAUCUACUAAAAAAGACAUCAUUUGGGAAGAAAUUUCCAGGAACUACUCUCUACUGGUCUGUUGAAUCAUGAAGUGCACAGCU